rnacentral:rRNA from 1 species
CAGUCGCCGCGGGAAUACGGAGGGUGCGAGCGUUAAUCGGAUUUACUGGGCGUAAAGCGUGCGUAGGCGGCUAAUUGAGUCGGAUGUGAAAUCCCCGAGCUUAACUUGGGAAUUGCAUUCGAUACUGGUUAGCUAGAGUGUGGGAGAGGAUGGUAGAAUUCCAGGUGUAGCGGUGAAAUGCGUAGAGAUCUGGAGGAAUACCGAUGGCGAAGGCAGCCAUCUGGCCUAACACUGACGCUGAGGUACGAAAGCAUGGGGAGCAAACAGGAUUAGAUACCCCGGUAGUCCCUGUCUCUUAUAC